rnacentral:rRNA from 1 species
GACGAACGCUGGCGGCGUGCUUAACACAUGCAAGUCGAACGGUGAUGCUCCAGCUUGCUGGAGUGGAUCAGUGGCGAACGGGUGGGUAACACGUGAGCAACCUGCCCCAGACUCUGGAAUAAGCGCUGGAAACGGCGUCUAAUACUGGAUACGAAACUGGCCCGCAUGGGCAUGGUUUGGAAAGUUUUUCGGUUUGGGAUGGGCUCGCGGCCUAUCAGCUUGUUGGUGAGGUAAUGGCUCACCAAGGCGACGACGGGUAGCCGGCCUGAGAGGGCGACCGGCCACACUGGGACUGAGACACGGCCCAGACUCCUACGGGAGGCAGCAGUGGGGAAUAUUGCACAAUGGGCGAAAGCCUGAUGCAGCGACGCCGCGUGAGGGAUGACGGCCUUCGGGUUGUAAACCUCUUUCAGCAGGGAAGAAGCGAAAGUGACGGUACCUGCAGAAGAAGCACCGGCUAACUACGUG